rnacentral:misc_RNA from 1 species
AAGUCGUAACAAGGUUUCCGUAGGUGAACCUGCGGAAGGAUCAUUAACAAAUCUUAUACAUACGAUCCGAUCGGUGGAUGGGAGAUCAUUCACUGGUUGGCAUCAAAAUACACGAAACAGUUGACGAAAAUAGUGACAUUUUUUAUAGUAAAUAACUUUUAACAAUGGAUCUCUUGGUUCUU